AGAGUUUGAUCCUGGCUCAGGAUGAACGCUGGCUACAGGCUUAACACAUGCAAGUCGAGGGGAAACGACGGGGAAGCUUGCUUCCUUGGGCGUCGACCGGCGCACGGGUGAGUAACGCGUAUCCAACCUGCCUCUGACUGAGGGAUAACCCGUCGAAAGUCGGCCUAAUACCUCAUGGCAUCGUCUGCGGGCAUCCAACGACGAUUAAAGAUUUCAUCGGUCAGGGAUGGGGAUGCGUCUGAUUAGCUUGUUGGCGGGGUAACGGCCCACCAAGGCGACGAUCAGUAGGGGUUCUGAGAGGAAGGUCCCCCACAUUGGAACUGAGACACGGUCCAAACUCCUACGGGAGGCAGCAGUGAGGAAUAUUGGUCAAUGGGCGCGAGCCUGAACCAGCCAAGUAGCGUGCAGGAAGACGGCCCUAUGGGUUGUAAACUGCUUUUAUAGGGGAAUAAAGUGAUCCACGUGUGGAUUAUUGUAUGUACCCUAUGAAUAAGGACCGGCUAAUUCCGUGCCAGCAGCCGCGGUAAUACGGAAGGUUCGGGCGUUAUCCGGAUUUAUUGGGUUUAAAGGGAGCGUAGGCCGUAGAUUAAGCGUGUUGUGAAAUGUAGAUGCUCAACAUCUGACUUGCAGCGCGAACUGGUUUACUUGAGUGUGCGCAACGUAGGCGGAAUUCGUCGUGUAGCGGUGAAAUGCUUAGAUAUGACGAAGAACUCCGAUUGCGAAGGCAGCUUACGGGAGCACAACUGACGCUGAAGCUCGAAGGUGCGGGUAUCAAACAGGAUUAGAUACCCUGGUAGUCCGCACAGUAAACGCUGGAUGCCCGCUGUUGGCUCAUUAGAGUCAGCGGCCAAGCGAAAGCAUUAAGCAUCCCACCUGGGGAGUACGCCGGCAACGGUGAAACUCAAAGGAAU
rnacentral:rRNA from 1 species